GGUAUUGGGCCGAGUAAAUGUAUAGGUAGUGUGCGCAUCCUGGUGUGCCCUGCUAUGAAUGGGCGUCAAGUGGCGUCAUUUGAAAAAGAAAGAAAGGGCCUGUGAGGAGAUGCCCAGAGACAGAUGCUUAAGGGGGAGGCAUGAGAGGAAGGAGGUCUGCUGUCUGCUCAGCAAGAACAAGAAGCCAUCAGUUCAACAUGAGCCUCAUCCAAACAGUCCGCUCGGUUUGGGAGGCGGUGAAAAGUCAGCCAUCAGCGUAUCGGCGUCGUUCAUCACACGCACCAUCAAGUGACACCAAAGCCUGCAAAGACUGAUGAAACAACGAGAGCUGCGGUAGAGGCGUCAGAAGGCAGCACAUCAACGCAAAAUAAGACGUUGACGGGCGCAUCCUUCGAAAGUUGGCCAGCACCCGGCUGCACAUCCGGCUGCGCUGGCUUAACCGCCAGAAGGACAGGGACGCGGCGCAGAGACGCCGUGACAAGCAGCUGUGCCAGCAUGCCGCGAGUCGCUAAUAAUGUUAAGAAGUGUUCGUGCCGCUGCUUCGAAUAGCAACACCGAUUAGGCUUUUUGGUUAGUGCCCGUGUUUGUGCUGUUUAGAAUAAGGACACCGCCCCAAGAGCUGAUGCCUGCUAGCGUGCACUUGUAUACUUGUAUAUACUAUGAUACUGUGAUACUUGUGUGCGAGUGUUUGUUUAACGUGAGUGUUUGAGUGUAUGGUAGCCCUUGGUUCUUGUUUAUAAUAAGGUUGCUGAAAACUGUCUCAGUUGGUGGUCUAGUCUUUUAUUGCGUGUUGCUGAGAAGGACUCUGGGUCCUCGCCACAAAUUGUUAUGAUUACUCUUGAGUGUCUUUACCAUAGUUAAGAUAUUAAAUGUGUGGCCGAGUGCUCUGUAUGUCAUUUUGUGUACGGUGUGCGGCCCCUUGUU